CCUACGGGUGGCUGCAGUGAGGAAUAUUGGUCAAUGGCCGAGAGGCUGAACCAGCCAAGUCGCGUGAGGGAAGAAUGUCCUAUGGAUUGUAAACCUCUUUUGUCAGGGAGCAAAUUCACCCACGUGUGGGUGUUGGAGAGUACCUGAAGAAAAAGCAUCGGCUAACUCCGGGCAAGCAGCCGCGGUAAUACGGAGGAUGCGAGCGUUAUCCGGGUUUAUUGGGUUUAAGGGGUGCGUAGGCGGGUUGUAAAGUCAGCGGUAAAAUCGUGGAGCUAAACUCCAUCCAGCCGUUGAAACUGGCGGUCUCGAGUGGGCGAGAAGUAUGCGGAAUGCGUGGUGUAGCGGUGAAAUGCAUAGAUAUCACGCAGAACUCCGAUUGCGAAGGCAGCAUACCGGCGCCCGACUGACGCUGAUGCACGAAAGCGUGGGGAUCGAACAGGAUUAGAUACCCUUGUAGUC
rnacentral:rRNA from 1 species